rnacentral:rRNA from 1 species
UGAGGAAUAUUGGUCAAUGGGCGGGAGCCUGAACCAGCCAAGCCGCGUGAGGGAGGAAGGCCCUAUGGGUCGUAAACCUCUUUUGUCAGGGAACAAAAGCGAGUAUGUAUACUAGUCUGAGUGUACCUGAAGAAAAAACCAUCGGCUAACUCCGUGCCAGCAGCCGCGGUAAUACGGAGGAUGCGAGCGUUAUCCGGAUUUAUUGGGUUUAAAGGGUGCGUAGGCGGCGGUGCAAGUCAGCGGUAAAAGCCCGGGGCUCAACCCCGGCGAGCCGUUGAAACUGCAGUGCUAGAGAAGGCGAGAGGUACGCGGAAUGCGCAGUGUAGCGGUGAAAUGCUUAGAUAUUGCGCAGAACUCCGAUUGCGAAGGCAGCGUACUGGCGCCUGACUGACGCUGAGGCACGAAAGCGUGGGGGAUCGAACAGGAUUAGAUACC